rnacentral:rRNA from 1 species
UGCGUAGGCGGUUUUGUGUGUCAGAUGUGAAAGCCCAUGGCUCAACCAUGGAAUUGCAUUUGAAACUGCAAAGCUCGAGUAUCGGAGAGGUAGAUGGAAUUCUAGGUGUAGCGGUGAAAUGCGUAGAUAUCUAGAAGAACACCAGCGGCGAAAGCGAUCUACUGGACGAAUACUGACGCUGAGGCACGAAAGCCAGGGGAGCGAAGA